rnacentral:rRNA from 1 species
UACGUAGGGGGCUAGCGUUGUCCGGAUUUAUUGGGCGUAAAGAGCGUGUAAGCGGCCAGGUAGGUCUGGUGUGAAAACUCGAGGCUUAACCUCGAGAUGUCAUCGGAAACCAUCUGGCUAGAGUCCGGAAGAGGAGAGUGGAAUUCCUGGUGUAGCGGUGAAAUGCGCAGAUAUCAGGAAGAACACCAAUGGCGAAAGCAGCUCUCUGGGACGGUACUGACGCUGAGACGCGAAAAGCGUGGGGGAGCGAACAGG